GCUGGGAUAGCCCAGUCAGUAGAGCUUGAAACUCCUAAUCUCAGGGUUGUGGGUUGUGAGUUCGAGCCCCAUGUUGGGCAAGAUUCCUGCA